ACACACAUUCAUCACACCAUUAUAUAAAUACAGAUCUCAAUUCACAAAAGGAGGUUGCUUCUUCUCCUUCUCACAGAGAACACACACUCACACAGAAAACACGAUACACACUCACCACAAUAUACACACAGAGUAGAGGGAUGGGAGGGGGGAUACAUAGAUCAAAAUCGUCACUCCCAUAAGAGACUGAAGAACAAUCAUCGUCACUCAUCCUUACCAUACGUACAAAUCGUACACACACACACACACUCUUUAACCGAAAAACACGUCCUCGGAAAACGUCCACAUACUCACACAGUGAGGAUGGGAUCGAAAAAAUAGAAGGAGCUUAAGAUUGAACCAGUUGUGGAUUGUUUGUCUCUGUCUUGAGUCGAUUUCACGAUAAUUUUUGUAUACUGGUUGGUUUAUUCGAUUGCGAUUUCUAUUUUGAUCCGUCGAUUUUCGUAUUGAUUUGGGGGAAUUUGGAUACUGUUUGGUCUCAGUUAGGUUAUUGUGGUAAGUUUCGGCCUGCUGAUUCCCUAUAUCGAAUUGGAUUUCACUGCAGUUGAGGUUCGUCUAUUCGGAAUUCCAAGUCCGAGUUUUCUUAAACAUUAUUACCAACAAAAUUGGUUCUUCGAAGGUCCAAUUCUAUUUUCUCUCCCUCUAAUUUUACUUAAUUGUGAAUGAUUUGUGUUUUUGGCAUAUUUGAAUCUUCUUUUGUUGGUUAAUGUUGGAUUCAGAUGUGAAAACUUGAUUGAUUGAUUGCAUAUUGAAUUGAUUUAAUCAUGUUAAAGUAGGAUGGGUAGGAUGGGGUGAAAUUAAGAUAUUAAUAAAAAGCAGGAAUAUAGAUCAACUUUGGUUUAUUGUUGUUUUUUUUUUUAAUUUGGAAUAAGCAUGAAUGAUGUUGAAACGGAUAAGCAAAUGUAGGUUUGGGUAAGCAAAAUUUAGAAUUUGUGUUUUGGUUGAAUGUUUGAAUGUGCGUGUGAAUGUUUCUUUCGAGCUUAUCAUAUUUGAUUCAAGUAUAUUCAUAUGGCCGGGAAAUGCCCCGAGGUUUUAUGUCACGACCCAAAAUGAGGGUCAUGAUGGCACUUGUCGCGGCGUACCUUGACAAGUAAGGCUAUCACCCAAACUGAUACAAAAAAAAGAAAAGACAUAAAUAUCCCACGGUAAGUCUUCUAGAAUGAAGACGAACCAUAUAAGUAAUUAUAACAAUGCGGAAAGAACUUAUCCAAAACGCCAAUCACGCUCAAAAUCAGGUGUCAAUAGUGUAAGAACUACUAAUACAAUCUGAGAGUCAAAUUCAUAAAAAAUAAUAAUCACAAAGGAAUAAUAACUGUCUCCGAAUACUAAUAAAGACAUAAACUAUAGAUAGAGGUGAACUUCGGACGCAUGAAUGUCCAACCGCUAUCUUGAAAGCUCCAACAAUCGUCCAUGUCAAUCAAGAUGAGGCGCACUCGAGCUAAGACCAUAUGCACACAUAUAUAAAGUAUUAAGAAACAUACUAAGCAUAUUUAUAAUAUAAAUAUACAAAGUAUAUUAUAUAUGAAGUUUAUACCAUGUAUAUACCAUAUACACACAUAUAUAAAAAUAUAAAGUAUAAAGAAACAUACUAAGCAUAUUUAUAUAUUUAUGGUAUAUGAUAUAAUAUACCAUAAAUAUGCAAAACAUGUUUUACAUAGAAAUAAUU
rnacentral:lncRNA from 1 species